rnacentral:rRNA from 1 species
UACGUAGGGUGCAAGCGUUGUCCGGAAUUAUUGGGCGUAAAGAGCUCGUAGGCGGUUUGUCACGUCGGAUGUGAAAACCCGGGGCUUAACCCCGGGCCUGCAUUCGAUACGGGCUGACUAGAGUUCGGCAGGGGAGACUGGAAUUCCUGGUGUAGCGGUGAAAUGCGCAGAUAUCAGGAGGAACACCGGUGGCGAAGGCGGGUCUCUGGGCCGAUAUUGACGCUGAGGAGCGAAAGCGUGGGGAGCGAACAGG